GGAGGGUGCAAGCGUUAUCCGGAUUCACUGGGUUUAAAGGGUGCGUAGGCGGGUAUGUAAGUCAGUGGUGAAAUCUCGGAGCUUAACUCCGAAACUGCCAUUGAUACUAUAUAUCUUGAAUAUUGUGGAGGUUUGCGGAAUAUGUCAUGUAGCGGUGAAAUGCUUAGAUAUGACAUAGAACACCUAUUGCGAAGGCAGCAGGCUACACAUAUAUUGACGCUGAGGGCACGAAAGCGUGGGGAUCAAACAGGAUUAGAUACCCCUGGUAGUCCCACGCCCCUAAACGAUGGAUACUCGACAUACGCGAUACACUGUGUGUGUCUGAGCGAAAGCAUUAAGUAUCCCACCUGGGAAGUACGACCGCAAGGUUG
rnacentral:rRNA from 1 species